AGUGAACGCUGGCGGUAGGCCUAACACAUGCAAGUCGAACGGCAGCACAGGAGAGCUUGCUCUCUGGGUGGCGAGUGGCGGACGGGUGAGGAAUACAUCGGAAUCUACUUUUUCGUGGGGGAUAACGUAGGGAAACUUACGCUAAUACCGCAUACGACCUACGGGUGAAAGCAGGGGACCUUCGGGCCUUGCGCGAUUGAAUGAGCCGAUGUCGGAUUAGCUAGUUGGCGGGGUAAAGGCCCACCAAGGCGACGAUCCGUGGCUGGUCUGAGAGGAUGAUCAGCCACACUGGAACUGAGACACGGUCCAGACUCCUACGGGAGGCAGCAGUGGGGAAUAUUGGACCAUGGGCGAAAGCCUGAUCCAGCCGUACCGCGUGGGUGAAGAAGGCCUUCGGGUUGUAAGGCCCUUUUGUUGGGAAAGAAAUCCAGCUGGCUAAUACCCGGUUGGGAUGACGGUACCCAAAGAAUAAGCACCGGCUAACUUCGUGCCAGCCGCCGCGGUAA
rnacentral:rRNA from 1 species